rnacentral:rRNA from 1 species
UACGUAGGGUGCAAGCGUUGUCCGGAAUUAUUGGGCGUAAAGAGCUCGUAGGCGGUUUGUCGCGUCUGCUGUGAAAACUCGGGGCUCAACUCCGAGCUUGCAGUGGGUACGGGCAGACUAGAGUGCGGUAGGGGAGACUGGAAUUCCUGGUGUAGCGGUGAAAUGCGCAGAUAUCAGGAGGAACACCGGUGGCGAAGGCGGGUCUCUGGGCAACAACUGACGCUGAGGAGCGAAAGCGUGGGGAGCGAACAGG